AAGACUGUACUUUCAGGGAUCAUUUCUAUAGUUCCUUACUAGAGAAGUUCCUCUGACCGUGUAGAGUACCAGAAACCACGAAGAGGAAGUACAGUGUUCUCUCCUGAGUGGGAAACUGGUGCUGGGCGUCGUUGUGUGAACUGCCCAUCGCCAUCGAUGAUCGUUCUUUCCCCUUGGGAGAGUUAGAAGAGAACACCGUCUGA
rnacentral:snoRNA from 1 species